GAUGAACGCUGGCGGCGUGCCUAAUACAUGCAAGUCGAGCGAACAGACGAGGAGCUUGCUCCUCUGACGUUAGCGGCGGACGGGUGAGUAACACGUGGAUAACCUACCUAUAAGACUGGGAUAACUUCGGGAAACCGGAGCUAAUACCAGAUAAUAUAUUGAACCGCAUGGUUCAAUAGUGAAAGACGGUUUUGCUGUCACUUAUAGAUGGAUCCGCGCCGUAUUAGCUAGUUGGUAAGGUAACGGCUUACCAAGGCAACGAUGCGUAGCCGACCUGAGAGGGUGAUCGGCCACACUGGAACUGAGACACGGUCCAGACUCCUACGGGAGGCAGCAGUAGGGAAUCUUCCGCAAUGGGCGAAAGCCUGACGGAGCAACGCCGCGUGAGUGAUGAAGGUCUUCGGAUCGUAAAACUCUGUUAUUAGGGAAGAACAAAUGUGUAAGUAACUAUGCACGUCUUGACGGUACCUAAUCAGAAAGCCACGGCUAACUACGUG
rnacentral:rRNA from 1 species